GAUGAACGCUGGCGGCGUGCUUAACACAUGCAAGUCGAGCGAGAAGGCUGUGACUGAUUCUUCGGAUGAAGAAGCAGCUGGAAAGCGGCGGACGGGUGAGUAACGCGUGGGUAACCUGCCUUGUACAGAGGGAUAGCCACUGGAAACGGUGAUUAAUACCUCAUAAAACUAAAGCAUCGCAUGGCGCAUUAGUCAAAAUUCAGGUGGUACAAGAUGGACCCGCGCCUGAUUAGCUAGGUUGGUAGGGUAAUGGCCUACCAAGGCGACGAUCAGUAGCCGACCUGAGAGGGUGAUCGGCCACGACUGGAACUGAGACACGGUCCAGACUCCUA
rnacentral:rRNA from 1 species